rnacentral:rRNA from 1 species
AUUUUGCUCAAUGGGGGAAACCCUGAAGCAGCAACGCCGCGUGAGGGAUGAAGGCCUUCGGGUUGUUUACCUCUUUUCUCAGGGAAGAUGAUGACGGUACCUGAGGAAUAAGCCACGGCUAACUACGUGCCAGCAGCCGCGGUAAUACGUAGGUGGCGAGCGUUGUCCGGAUUUACUGGGCGUAAAGAGCGCGCAGGCGGUCGUGCAAGUCGCGUGUGAAAGCCCCCGGCUCAACUGGGGAGGGUCACGCGAUACUGCUCGACUCGAAGGCAGGAGAGGGAAGUGGAAUUCCCGGUGUAGUGGUGAUUUGCGUAGAUAUCGGGAGGAACACCAGUGGCGAAGGCGACUUCCUGGCCUGUUCUUGACGCUGAGGCGCGAAAGCUAGGGUAGCAAACGGGAUUAGAUACCGCGGUAGUCCUAGCCGUAAACGAUGGACACUAGGUGUUGGUGGUAUCAACCCCGCCAGUGCCGAAGCUAACGCAUUAAGUGUCCCGCCUGGGGAGUACGGCCGCAAGGCUAUAACUCAAAGGAAUUGACGGGGGCCCGCACAAGCAGCGGAG